rnacentral:siRNA from 1 species
CGCUGAAAUUUUUAGCGAUCAGUC